rnacentral:rRNA from 1 species
CGUGUAGGCGGCUGAAUAAGUCAGAUGUGAAAGCCCUGGGCUUAACCCAGGAAGUGCAUUUGAAACUAUUCGGCUGGAGUAAGGGAGAGGAAAGUGGAAUUCCUGGUGUAGAGGUGAAAUUCGUAGAUAUCAGGAGGAACACCGGCGGCGAAGGCGACUUUCUGGCCCUAUACUGACGCUGAGACGCGAGAGCGUGGGUAGCAAACA